rnacentral:rRNA from 1 species
UACGUAGGGUGCAAGCGUUUGUCCGGAAUUAUUGGGCGUAAAGAGCUCGUAGGCGGUCUGUCGCGUCUGGUGUGAAAAUCCAGGGCUUAACCCUGGACCUGCAUCGGGUACGGGCAGACUAGAGUGCGGUAGGGGAGAUCGGAAUUCCUGGUGUAGCGGUGAAAUGCGCAGAUAUCAGGAGGAACACCGGUGGCGAAGGCGGAUCUCUGGGCCGUAACUGACGCUGAGGAGCGAAAGCAGGGGGAGCGAACAGG